rnacentral:ncRNA from 1 species
GACUGCCCAGAUGUGCGAAAGCGACCGUCCUAGUCCACGAAAGUGGAGGAUAAUGCCCUGAAAGGUGAAAGUCCUUGCUCUGUAAAGCUAGACCUGGGGGAGUUAGAGGGGUAGC